rnacentral:rRNA from 1 species
GGACGGGUGAGUAACACGUGAGUAGCUGUCCUAGGGAGGGGGAUAACGCCUGGAAACGGGUGCUAAAACCCCAUAAGCCUCGCAAGAGGUGAAAGUGUACUUGUUACAGCCUUAGGGUGUGCUCGCGGCCUAUCAGCUAGUUGGUGAGGUAAGGGCUCACCAAGGCUAAGACGGGUAGCCGGCCUGAGAGGGUGUACGGCCACACUGGAAUUGAGAUACGGUCCAGACUCCUACGGGAGGCAGCAGUGGGGAAUUUUGGGCAAUGGGCGAAAGCCUGACCCAGCGACGCCGCGUUGGGGAUGAAGUCCUUCGGGGCGUAAACCCAUGUUGUAGGGGAAGAAGAAAGUGACGGUACCCUACGAGAAAGCCCCGGCCAACUACGUGCCAGCAGCCGCGGUAAAACGUAGGGGGCGAGCGUUGUCCGGAAUUACUGGGCGUAAAG